rnacentral:lncRNA from 1 species
UUUGGUGUUUCUAUCAACUCGAAAACUUAGAAAUAUAAAACUGAUUCAUACUUUGUGUAUUUGCUAGGAUCUGUAAAUAACUGACGAAAAACCCAUCUGUUUCUACGUAGUUGCUGUUGCUGACACAAAGAAGUCUUGUGAACUCAAUCCAAAUAAUUCCACUGCUAUGUUGAGAAAAGGGUAUUCAAUAGCUACUCUUUUUGUUGAGCUUGGACUGUAAAUAGUAGAUGUUUAAUUUGUUGAAUGAGUUCAUUGUAAGCUUUAUAAGUAGUAAAAUUCUAUAUUUAUACAUUGCUACGUUUCCCAGACUGGUCUCUGAACUCCCGGCCUCAAGUGAUCCUACUGC